GCGUUGUUCGGAUUUACUGGGCGUAAAGGGCGCGCAGGCGGCUUAUUUUGUCAGGCGUGAAAGCCCCGGGCUUAACCUGGGAACUGCGUUUGAUACGGAUGGGCUAGAGUUCGGGAGAGGAGCGUGGAAUUCCCAGUGUAGAGGUGAAAUUCGUAGAUAUUGGGAAGAACACCGGUGGCGAAGGCGGCGCUCUGGACCGAGACUGACGCUGAGGCGCGAAAGCGUGGGGAGCAAACAGG
rnacentral:rRNA from 1 species